rnacentral:lncRNA from 1 species
CCAGACCUGAAUUACUAAGGUUUUGCCCAAAGGCAGGCCUAGCAAGUCCAGAAGCCUGAAGAAACCAGGUAAGAUUCAGAGAGCCCAGGAACUGACAUAUUUUAAGACUAGCCUAGUCUGAUCUUUAUAAAUAAUCCCCAAAAGCAGCCCUCUCCAUAACCCAUAACCAGGACCACUUUUCCUAGGCCAUCUCAAUCCAGAUAUCCUAGCUCAUCACUCCACAGAUUCAUUCUCCUCAAGAUUUGUUCCAAACAAUGGGGAACAGAUACUGAUUCUUUCAAUUAUGUGCCUUGGACAUUUUACCAAAAGCUCCUGCCAGGUUUUGCGGCUGCCUGAUCGUUAAGGAAUUAAGGAGAAUGAACAUAAUUCUCAAUAUAAAACCCUUUCAAUAUCUUUCUUGGUCUUCUUGCCCUCCCAUCUCACUGCUUCUGGAAACUUAAUCUGUUCUUUUCUUUCCCUUUUUCUAUCAGUGAUUCAGGGAUUGGAUGAGUCUCUAUGGUUUGUUUUGCCCUGAAGAGCAGAAGGCUUCUGUCCCAACUGGUGUUGCCAAAGCAACAUAUUAAUUCCAUGCCAUGAUCCUGGGUCAAGAUCUGCACAAUCUGAUUGGGCAUGUCACCUCGGAUGGCAAGGGAGUGGAAGUGGUCAAAAUCAUGGAGUCCUAGCUUUCGGAGACGCCUUGCAGCUGCCCGGUAACACUUCCAGGGUUGGGGCUCCACAAGGAGGUAGCGGCAGAGGGAGGAAAGAUGGGCCAGGAACUCCCAUAGGCCAUGGUCUCCAUGAUUCAGAUGAAUCCACAUGGUUAUUGACAUGCAGAAGCCAAUGUCAAAAACUGAACGUCCAAAUUGGCUUAAGAAAGAGCUCAAGAGAACCUUCCGGGUCCUUUGAUUCAUGAAGUCCAGGGUGAUAAAAGUCAAGGCAUCAGGAAAAGGACAUUCUUUUUCGGCUCGCUUCACCAGGACUGGAUCUAUGUCGCAGCAGAGGAGACGGAAUUCUCUUGAGGCAUCUGAGCAGGUCUCCCCGUCAGAUGCUGGACUGGAGUGAUGCAGGGAGCGCAG